GGGGAUUUAGCUUAGUGGUAAAGCAUCCUGGGUUCAAUUCCCAGCAAUCCCCC
rnacentral:tRNA from 1 species